CAGCUUGGAUGGUACCUUCUGGAACUAUGAACAUGAAUCAGCAGUUGAAACUUCCUUUUGGCUUCUGAAAUGGGUCACAUAUUAAGAAUACACCUAACACAUAGACCUGUCCUAAAGCAAACCUCCCUGUGAUGGUUGUCCAGUGGUCCGUCAUCACUUCUGCCAUGAAACUGGGUCAGACCUCUGGCUUGAAGAACUGAAUGCCACAUCUUGGAAAAGAUAAGGGAGAUCCUCAUUGUUCCCACCAGAAACAUCACUGUCACUUUUGAGGAGCCCUGGUAACUUCAAGCAUUGUGGAACCAACAGGUCAAUUUCCAAACAGUCCUUCAACAACAGCUGCCAUCUGGAAGAGAAAAAGACCAGCAUGUGAUCAUGGCAAAGGGAGACAUCUGUCAACCCUGAAUGAGCAAGCUGAGAAAGUUUAUGGAUCGUCUCCAAUAGGGCCCCAGGAAAUAUAACAGCUUUAGGGACAGAAUAGGAGAGACUUUUUCUGCCCUACUCACUCAGGAUAAAGCAGUUCCAAGAAGGAUUACUUUCCACCUUCAGCUUCCCUAACA